rnacentral:rRNA from 1 species
AUUGAACGCUGGCGGCAGGCCUAACACAUGCAAGUCGAACGAGUGGCGGACGGGUGAGUAAUGUCUGGGAAACUGCCCGAUGGAGGGGGAUAACUACUGGAAACGGUAGCUAAUACCGCAUACCAUCGGAUGUGCCCAGAUGGGAGUAGCUAGUAGGUGGGGUAAUGGCUCACAUAGGCGACGAUCCCUAGCUGGUCUGAGAGGAUAACCAGCCACACUGGAAAGGGGACACGGUCGAGACUCCUAAGUGAGGCAGCAGUGGGGAAUAUUGCACAAUGGGCGCAAGCCUGAGGCAGCCAUGCCGCGUGUAUGAUGAAGGCCUUCGGGUUGUAAAGUACUUUCAGUGAGGAGGCGUUACUCGCAGAAGAAGCACCGGCUAACUCCGUGCCAGCCGCCGCGGUAAUAC